rnacentral:rRNA from 1 species
CGGAGGAAAAGAAACCAACAGGGAUUGCCCUAGUAACGGCGAGUGAAGCGGCAACAGCUCAAAUUUGAAAGCUAGCCUUCGGGUUCGCAUUGUAAUUUGUAGAGGAUGCUUUGGGUAAAACGCCAGUCUAAGUUCCUUGGAACAGGACGUCAUAGAGGGUGAGAAUCCCGUAUGUGACUGGAAAUGUUAACCUAUGUAAAGCUCCUUCGACGAGUCGAGUUGUUUGGGAAUGCAGCUCUAAAUGGGAGGUAAAUUUCUUCUAAAGCUAAAUAUUGGCGAGAGACCGAUAGCGCACAAGUAGAGUGAUCGAAAGAUGAAAAGCACUUUGGAAAGAGAGUUAAAAAGCACGUGAAAUUGUUGAAAGGGAAGCGCUUGCAAUCAGACUUGUUUAAACUGUUCGGCCGGUCUUCUGACCGGUUUACUCAGUUUGGACAGGCCAGCAUCAGUUUCGGCGGCCGGAUAAAGGCUCUGGGAAUGUGGCCUUCACUUCGGUGGAGGUGUUAUAGCCCAGUGUGUAAUACGGCCAGCCGGGACUGAGGUCCGCGCUUCGGCUAGGAUGCUGGCGUAAUGGUUGUAAGCGACCCGUCUU